AGUCCCUCACAUUUCAGGAAAAGGACUCAUCAAUAACGAUGAAGUCAAGGAGUUCAGGAUUAUCUACAUCACGACGAUGGAGCAGUCCCUCACAUUUCAGGAAAAGGACUCAGCAACAACGAUGAAGUCAAGGAGUUCAGGAUUAUCUAUAUCACGACGAUGGAGCAGUCCCUCACAUUUCAGGAAAAGGACUCAUCAA